GAUGAACGCUAGCGGCAGGCCUAAUACAUGCAAGUCGGACGGGAUUGGAGAGCUUGCUUUCCAUGAGAGUGGCGCAUGGGUGCGUAACACGUAUGUAACCUACCUUGUUCAGGGGGAUAGCCUCUCGAAAGAGAGAUUAAGACCGCAUAACAUUGCAAUGUGGCAUCACAAAGCAAUCAAAUAUUUAUAGGAACAAGAUGGGCAUGCGGAACAUUAGCUAGUUGGUAAGGUAACGGCUCACCAAGGCUACGAUG
rnacentral:rRNA from 1 species